GAGUCAGGGUGGUCUUUGUGAGAUUCCACCAUGGCGUACCGUGGCCAGGGCCAGAAAGUGCAGAAAGUGAUGGUACAACCGAUCAAGCUCAUCUUCAGAUACCUGCAAAAUAGAUCCUGGAUUCGGGUGUGGCUCUAUGAGCAAGUGAAUAUGCGGAUAGAGGGCUGUAUUAUUGGUUUUGAUGAGUAUAUGAACCUUGUAUUACAUGAUGCAGAAGAGAUUCAUUCUAAAACAAAGUCAAGAAAACAACUGGGUCAAAUCAUGUUAAAAGGAGAUAAUAUUACUCUGCUACAAAGUGUUUCCAACUAGAAGUGAUCAAUGAAGUGAAAACUGUUGAGAAGGC